rnacentral:rRNA from 2 species
CGCGUGAGGGAGGGGCUCUUGGGUUGUAAACCUCUUUUCUCAGGGAAGAAAAAAAUGACGGUACCUGAGGAAUAAGCAUCGGCUAACUCCGUGCCAGCAGCCGCGGUAAUACGGAGGAUGCAAGCGUUAUCCGGAAUUAUUGGGCGUAAAGCGUCCGCAGGUGGCACAUCAAGUCUGCUGUCAAAGACCGGGGCUUAACCCUGGAAAGGCAGUGGAAACUGAAGUGCUAGAGUGCAGGAGGGGUAGAGGGAAUUCCCGGUGUAGCGGUGAAAUGCGUAGAUAUCGGGAAGAACAUCGGUGGGGAAGGCGCUCUACUGGACUGCAACUGACACUCGGGGACAAACGCUGGGAGAGAAUGAGGUAUUAUAUACCCAG